rnacentral:lncRNA from 7 species
AAAAAGGACGUGAAGCAACAUCAGCUGUCAGCCAUGGCUCCCCGGAUAAGAUUGAGUGUUUCAAAGCCUCUCCCAACCAUCUGCGAAACCCACGAGGAAGCAAUGGAAGACCUAACCAGCAACCCAAAGCACACUGCAAACACUUCAACCAACCCAGACUUGUACUCUAGCGAUGACUACAUUCAAUCUAUCUGCCACCUUGCCAGGCCCACCUUCCCAGGCAUUCCGGAAAGCAGCCAUAGGGUUCGGAACAGAAGAAUCCUGCAGACCCUGGAAGCCAUGUCAUGGUCCCCAUCCCAGAAAGAAAUGUCAGCAUGUAAAUUGACCAAUUUCAUCUCAAAUGUGAUGCCACUGGGAAAAGCUACAUCUGCUCCUGAUGAUGCAGAAGCCGACUUCUGGUCCAGAGAGGACCCCCUGGCACAGAUCUACAGGCGCACAGGAAACCUCUGCUCCUCCAAGGGUUUGUGGAGCAAAAACUCCAGCACUGACUCCUCACAGUGCAUCUCCUCCAGCCACCUGGACUCCCUUCAUCCCCCAGCCAUGAAAGAAGAAGCCCCAGGAAAACCACAUUUCCCACGGAUGUUCAGUUUUCCAAGGUUUCCCUCUCCAAGGCCAAUGCAGAAAGAAACGCUCUGCUCAGAGCUGAGGUGUCUCAGAAGGGAUGAGGGAGCGGUUGUAGGGAGCAAUCACAGUCAAAAGGAAGAUGCUCCCAGGUUUAUUAACACUGAAGAGCUAUUGCUGUGCUCAGGCAGAGGGAAGCUACUAGGAAAUCGGCUCUUGCGCUGCUCUGUAAGGAGGCAGAGUUUGUUUGAGGCAGUGGGUGCUGAUGAAAAAGAAGGGAGAGAAACUUCUCACUGUGACAAAAACGCAGUGGGUGAUGUUCCCAGUAAACAGAGAUACUCUGAGUGCUUCCAGGCAGCUAAAAAAGCUGUGAUCCAUAAUUGGAUUUCAGAGCAUAGAUGCAUGUGGAAAGAAGCAAAGAUAAAGGCUUGUUUGCUCCCAGCCAUUGCUGAAGUGUGAAAAAGUAUCUGUUCCAAAUAAUGUUGUUUGCAAGAAAUAAACACCCUGUGCUCUAGAAGCUCUCCCUGGAGUCCUUAUGUGGAAAACAUGGCUUGAAUGUGCAUGCAAGUCAGAAAACCUUUUGUGAUCCAUCUUACCCCUCAUCAGUGGGCAAAUGGACAACUUGGAGUCCAGUCCUCUGAGAAAGCAGCAAUUAAUUCUCAUUUUGGAAAGACAACGGUUCAUAAAGCAUUGCCCCACACCUAUUGCCUUGAACUGCCCUGAGCAUGGAGGAAAUUGAAGAGCCAUCUGUCUUGAAGAAGUAAUCUGAAGGAAAAAGAAACAACAACCCACACACCUACUGCCAUUUCACAGCAGAUGCCAAGCAGCCAGAUGUUUCACACGCUUGGGUACAGUUAUUCUGAAAGGAACAUUCUGAAUGGUGCUUGGACAGUACUAAAUAUGCCCUCACUGACAUAUGCAUUCACUGAGACACACAGCAUAGAUCACUGCAUCAACACCAGAAUACCACUGGGUCAGUCAUCUGGUAGUGCUUUCAUGUAAAGGAAUACUUUUAAUAGCUGUAAGAAGCCUGUGAUGAGGAUGUGUUAGAGGACAACAUGAAAAAUACUGAAACUGCUCUGGGUGGGACUUUUCCCCUUCCUUAGCACUGCAAAAGUUUAUGACUUUCAUGUCACAAUCUAACCUUUUUGGGGAUGAGUGCCCUGGGUGAGCAUUGCUAACGCUGGUCUGGUGCUGCAAGAAAUCAGGGUCCCAUCGGUGUCUGCACUGCUGUCUGUGCUGGGUGGGAGCACAGCUGGGAGCUGAGAAAGCUCUGUGCACGUAUGGAUUGUGUCUGUGUUUCCCUUCAUCUGUGUGCUUCUCUAGUUUCCCCCACCUGGCCAUGCUAACCACACUGACUUUUCUAUGCCUGGUGCUGUGAGACCGAAACAUGAAGGAAAAAAAAACAUCACAAGAAGUCCCCAGGACAGCCCCUUUGCUGCUCAUGCUGUGUGGGAUGUCUGCAGGAGGAGCAGUGCUGCUGUGGGAUCCAGGUCAUCCCCUAACCGCCUCAUUGAGACAACUUUGUCUCCUGAAGCCUUCACACACUGUCACAGUCCCACAGCCACAGCGCACAGCACUGCAAGAGGAGCGGGUGAGAGAACUGCUAAGUAAUGCCAGUGCAGUUAUUGCUGCCACUGCCACAAAUCAAUCCUUUGGCACGGAGCAGACACGAGGACUGGGCUGUUUGCUCAACUGCAGCCAGGACGGGAAAUACCACCGCAAAGCUGCCAUUAUAGAAGUGCUCACAGGUGGCUUCUGAAACACCCCUGAGUAGAUUAAAUCAGACUGCAACUUCUGCCCGGUACCAACACAAGUGUAAAUAUACUCAAGGAUCAAAAGGUGAGAGAAUCUGAACUGCUCAUUCUCACAUCUCUUACCUCAAAUAUUUUUAUUCCUGUUGAAACUCAUUAAUGCUCCGGAGCCAAACUGCUUCUCAUCUCCAUUUUCAAACUAACCACACAGCAAGAACAAAGGCGAAGGCGGCUGCAGCUUUUUUAGGGUUUACAGAGAGCCUGAGCUGAACAAGGCCACACGGGCUCUGCCUCCCCCUCUUCUGCCCUUCCCUCUUGGGUUUGUAUAGGGAUGGAGGACAUGUUUGCCCUCAUUGCUAUGCGGACAUUUCGGUUUCUGUCCAUGUUUAAGACACUAAUGCCUAGCAAGUUUUGUGCCAACUGCAUGUAUCACCGUGUUUGACCAAGAAAGCAAAUAAAACCCUUAC